CGGGACGGGUGAGUAAUGUCUGGGAAACUGCCCGAUGGAGGGGGAUAACUACUGGAAACGGUAGCUAAUACCGCAUAACGUCGCAAGACCAAAGAGGGGACCUUCGGGCCUCUUGCCAUCGGAUGUGCCCAGAUGGGAUUAGCUAGUAGGUGGGGUAACGGCUCACCUAGGCGACGAUCCCUAGCUGGUCUGAGAGGAUGACCAGCCACACUGGAACUGAGACACGGUCCAG
rnacentral:rRNA from 1 species